UACGUAGGUGGCAAGCGUUGUCCGGAUUUACUGGGCGUAAAGAGCGCGCAGGCGGUCGUACAAGUCGCGUGUGAAAGCCCCCGGCUCAACUGGGGAGGGUCACGCGAUACUGUUCGACUCGAAGGCAGGAGAGGGAAGCAGAAUUCCCGGUGUAGUGGUGAAAUGCGUAGAUAUCGGGAGGAAUACCGGUGGCGAAGGCGGUGAGCUGGGCAGUUGCUGACACUGAGGCGCGACAGCGUGGGGAGCAAACAGGG
rnacentral:rRNA from 1 species